rnacentral:lncRNA from 10 species
CAGCCAUGGCUAGGGAGGCAGACAAGAAACAAAUCAACCAGCAAAGAGGGAAGGUAACCCGAUGCUGUGAAGUGCUGUCAGGGAAAUGGAAAAGACGAGGAGACAGGGAGUAGCUGGGAAGCGGGUGGGGCGGGUGCCUGGGCAGCUAUUUUAGCCAUUGUGCUCAAGGAUGGCCUCACGAGAGAGGUGUCUGAAUGGACACCUGCAGAAUCAGGAGAACCACGUAUGCAAGAGCAGGAGGAAAAGCCAAGGGGACAAGUACAAGGGCCGUGAGGCAGGAAAGGGCUUGGCAUGAAACCUCCUCUGGGGAAAUAAGACUGAGCACUGCUGAUCCGUUCUUACCAGGGGGCAGUUAGAGCUAGGAAAUUGGGAGACUGACAUUAGCUACUGGCUCUGCCCCUCCCACACUGUGAUCUGAGCCUCACUUUCCCUUCCUAUACCAGGAAGGGUCAGAGGAGGCAUCAGCAAGCUCUGACGUUCUGUGAUUCUUUGUAAAUUUUACACCUGUUUCAACAACGAUCCCUUCUCCCACCUCCAGCAAAUAACUGGAUGCUCACCCACUACUGGUGGGAGAGAAAAAUGGCACAGCCACUUUGGAAA